rnacentral:rRNA from 1 species
CGUAAGACUACCCGCUGAACUUAAGCAUAUCAAUAAGCGGAGGAAACCC